CACAAGCAGCGGAGCGUGUGGUUUAUUCGAUGAUACGCGAAAACCUUACCAGGGUUUGACGAUGUGGGUGGUAGGGAGUCCGAAAGGUGACCGACUCUUCGGAGAGCCCUCACAGGUGCUGCAUGGCUGUCGUCAGCUCGUGUCGUGAGACGUUGGGUUAAGUCCCGCAACGAGCGCAACCCCUGCAUUCAGUUGCCAACGGUAAGGCCGGGCACUCUGGAUGGACUGCCGGCGACAAGCCGGAGGAAGGUGGGAUGACGUCAAGUCAUCAUGGCCCUUAUGUCCAGGGCGACACACGUGCUACAAUGGCCGGCACAGCGGGAAGCGAGGGGGCGACCUUGAGCGGAUCCCUCAAAGCCGGUCUCAGUUCGGAUUGCAGUCUGCAACUCGACUGCAUGAAGUUGGAAUCGCUAGUAAUCGUGGAUCAGCCAAGCCGCGGUGAAUACGUUCCCGGGCCUU
rnacentral:rRNA from 1 species